rnacentral:rRNA from 1 species
UACGGAGGGUGCGAGCGUUAAUCGGAUUAACUGGGUGUAAAGGGCACGCAGGCGGGUUUUUAAGUGAGAUGUGAAAUCCCCGGGCUUAACCUGGGAAUAGCAUUUCAGACUGGAAGUCUAGAGUACUUUAGGGAGGGGUAGAAUUCCACGUGUAGCGGUGAAAUGCGUAGAGAUGUGGAGGAAUACCGAAGGCGAAGGCAGCCUCUUGGGAAGGUACUGACGCUCAUGUGCGAAAGCGUGGGGAGCAAACAGG